rnacentral:rRNA from 1 species
CUUCUUAGAAAGCUACUUGCUUAGUUGGAUGACGCCCGUCGUUAGAUUAGUUAGUUGGUGGGGUAAAGGCCUACCAAGACCACGAUCUAUAGCUGGUUUGAGAGGAUGAUCAGCCACAUUGGGACUGAGACACGGCCCAGACUCCUACGGGAGGCAGCAGUGGGGAAUAUUGGACAAUGGGCGCAAGCCUGAUCCAGCAAUACCGCGUGUGUGAAGAAGGCCUUAGGGUUGUAAAGCACUUUUGUGUAGGAAGAAGGUAUGUUUGUUAAUAGCAGAUGUAUUUGACGGUACUACAAGAAUAAGCACCGGCUAACUCCGUG